rnacentral:rRNA from 1 species
GACUACAGGGGUAUCUAAUCCUGUUUGAUCCCCACGCUUUCGUGCCUCAGUGUCAAUAAUCCCGUAGCGAGCUGCCUUCGCAAUUGGUGUUCUAUGUCAUAUCUAAGCAUUUCACCGCUACAUGACAUAUUCCGCUCACCUCCAGGAUAUUCAAGACAGAUAGUAUCAAUGGCAGUUUCCGGGUUAAGCCCGGAGAUUUCACCGCUGACUUAACUGCCCACCUACGCACCCUUUAAACCCAGUAAAUCCGGAUAACGCUUGCACCCUCCGUAUUACCGCGGCUGCUGGCACGGAGUUAGCCGGUGCUUAUUCCUAGGGUACCGUCAAGUGCUCAAGAAUGAGCUUUUUUCGUCCCCUAUAAAAGAAGUUUACAACCCAGAGGGCCUUCAUCCUUCACGCGGCAUGGCUGGUUCAGACUUUCGUCCAUUGACCAAUAUUCCUUACUGCAGCCCCCCGUAGG